rnacentral:rRNA from 1 species
UACGUAGGGUGCGAGCGUUAAUCGGAAUUACUGGGCGUAAAGCGUGCGCAGGCGGUCUGUUAAGACCGAUGUGAAAUCCCCGGGCUUAACCUGGGAACUGCGUUUGAAACUACAAGGCUAGAGUGUGACAGAGGGGGUGGAAUUCCACGUGUAGCAGUGAAAUGCGUAGAGAUGUGGAGGAACACCGAUGGCGAAGGCAGCCCCCUGGGUUAACACUGACGCUCAGGCACGAAAGCGUGGGGAGCAAACAGG